UUCCAUCUCCAUCCUUAUAAAGAGACGGGUAACUCACGACUGCUCAGCAGAGACGUCCACAUCACUUCUAGAUCUCACAGUGCUCACUUUGCUGUCUGUGACAACAGUUUUGUUUUGGUUCUGACAAACAAGCUGCGGAGAGGAUGAAGGCUGUUAUGAUCUUUCUGGUGUUGACGCUGGUCAUCAUCAUGGCUGAACCCGGAGUCGGCCGCAUGGAGAGUCAUCCUCCACCUCGUCAACUUCCACCUAAUCAACCGUGCCCCUCAUGCUAUCCUCAAGUUGCACCGUUUAUCAGAUUUGGAAAAUCCCAAGAUGAAGUGGCUGAAGAUAGACUGAGGCGAAACUAUGAAGACUGAGUCUGUUCUUGAUUUUGAAGAUAUAGUUUGAGCUAUAUCUUUGUGCUUUGCAAAGCAACAAAUAAUUGGAUGAGUAAACAUGAAGCUCUUGAGAUGUAGUGAUUUUAGUCACAGCUCCAAGUGAUGUUGAAAAAAGUAAAACUGCUUGAUAGUGAAAACUAUCCUGCUGAAUAAAGCUGCAUUCCAAAAGAC